CCCAGUUAUCCUGUGGUUGCCCUGUGUCAUGGAGAUAUUGCAGAUUUGGAAUAGCAGGACCAGCACUUUCACACAUAAGAAUGAUUUGCAGGUGGUAUAUUUUGGGGUGGACCAAUUCUGAGCCCUUGAUCUGGACCUGGAUGGUAGCAGAGCUGCCUUCCCUGAAAGGGGCACUGAAGAAGUGAGUGUCUGUUAGUUCUACAGUAGUAAGGAAGCCAACUCUGCCAACAGUCAUAUGAAACCGGAAGCAGACCCUGAGCCCUACAUGAGACUGCAGUCCUGGCCAACAUAGUGACACCAUCUAGCAAGACAGAGACUAUGAGGUGAUGAAUACAUUAUCAACUGCUGUAUUUGUGGAAUGCUCUGGAACAGAGGGUCGAAAGGGCCAGUUUAUGUUUAGACACCAUGGUGCUGAUAUAGGUAUCUGGUAACAUGACUGACACUGGACAAACCAGAAGACUAAGUCAAAACAAAAUGGUUGACUCUGGAAACCCCAAAGCAAACAGAUAAAAUGUAUUAUGUUUUGGGCAAAA